rnacentral:rRNA from 1 species
GAGUUUGAUCCUGGCUCANGAUGAACGCUAGCGGCAGGCUUAACACAUGCNAGUCGAACGGUAACNUUGGUGCUUGCNUCNGAUGACGAGUGGCGAACGGGUGCGUAACGCGUAUACCACCUACCUCUUAUUAAGGAAUAGCUCAGAGAAAUUUGAAUUAAUACCUUAUAACAUCUUAAAGCCGCAUGGUUUAAAGAUUAAAGAAUUUCGAUAAGAGAUGGGUAUGCGUGAUAUUAGCUAGUUGGUAAGGUAACGGCUUACCAAGGCAACGAUAUCUAGGGGGUCUGAGAGGAUGAUCCCCCACACUGGUACUGAGACACGGACCAGACUCCUACGGGAGGCAGCAGUGAGGAAUAUUGGACAAUGGGCGAAAGCCUGAUCCAGCCAUGCCGCGUGAAGGAUGAAUGCCCUAUGGGUUGUAAACUUCUUUUAUAUAGGAAGAAACCUCUGGAUUUAUCCAGAGCUGACAUUACUAUAAGAAUAAGCAUCGGCUAACUCCGUGCCAGCAGCCGCGGUAAUACGGAGGAUGCAAGCGUUAUCCGGAUUUAUUGGGUUUAAAGGGUCCGUAGGCGGGAAAAUAAGUCAGUGGUGAAAGCCUACAGCUCAACUGUAGAACUGCCAUUGAUACUGUUUUUCUUGAAUUUAUAUGAAGUGGGCGGAAUGCGUCAUGUAGCGGUGAAAUGCACAGAUAUGACGCAGAACACCAAUUGCGAAGGCAGCUCACUAAUGUAAUAUUGACG